GCCCAGGUGGCGAAAUUGGUAGACGCACUGGAUUUAGGUUCCAGCGCCGCAAGGUGUGGAGGUUCGAGUCCUCUCCUGGGCA
rnacentral:tRNA from 1 species